rnacentral:rRNA from 1 species
CCGGCGCACGGGUGAGUAACGCGUAUCCAACCUGCCCACCACUUGGGGAUAACCUUGCGAAAGUAAGACUAAUACCCAAUGAUAUCCCACGAAGGCAUCCGAAUGGGAUUAAAGAUUUAUCGGUCAUGGAUGGGGAUGCGUCUGAUUAGGUUGUUGGCGGGGUAACGGCCCACCAGCCAUCGAUCAGUAGGGGUUCUGAGAGGAAGGUCCCCCACAUUGGAACUGAGACACGGUCCAAACUCCUACGGGAGGCAGCAGUGAGGAAUAUUGGUCAAUGGGCGAGAGCCUGAACCAGCCAAGUAGCGUGCAGGAUGACGGCCCUAUGGGUUGUAAACUGCUUUUAUAGGGGAAUAAAGUGAGCCACGUGUGGCUUUUGCAUGUACCCUAUGAAUAAGGACCGGCUAAUUCCGUG